rnacentral:rRNA from 1 species
GACGGAGGGUGCAAGCGUUGUUCGGAUUGACUGGGCGUAAAGGGCGUGUAGGCGGUCGGCCAAGUCUGAUGUGAAAGCCCGAGGCUCAGCCUCGGAAGUGCGUCGGAAACUAGUCGGCUGGAGCGCGAUAGAGGAGGGUGGAAUUCCUGGUGUAGCGGUGAAAUGCGUAGAUAUCAGGAGGAACACCGGUGGCGAAGGCGGGUCUCUGGGACGAUACUGACGCUGAGGAGCGAAAGCGUGGGGAGCGAACAGG